AAAGAACAUUAACUGAGUAGAUUUGGUUUUGCUUGUUCCUCUAAAUCUGUUUUUGCUGGGAAACCUCUUAAUGCAUCAUUGGAUCUCACCUCUGAUUCAUCCUUUCCAAACUGACCUCAGAGGAACCAGGGACUGAGACACAGCUCAGGAACUGUAACCCUGUCCUGAAACUAACAAUUAUAAUUUGCUUCCCACAAAACUGGAAAAACAGAACCUCAGCUUUCUUUCAUAUUGCCUUGGCUGCCUUCCCUUCAAUGGGGUACAUCUUCUCCAGGUUUUGUUGUGGGAACUGACAAGGCAAAGCUCGCAGCUGGGAAUAUAUUGGCUUCCAUGUUGAUAUUACAGAACUUAAGAAAAAGGUUAAGGAAUGAAACUAGUAUUUUAAUUCACAGAGAAAGUGUGUUCCAAAGUCCUCUGAAAUCAGUGGACUGAAUCCCACCAACGUCACCAAGUACUGGCUUAAGGCCUUAGUAAAUACAAUAUUUAUAAAGGAAUCAUUGUACGUUGAUGGUGAAAAAUAAAAGAUGUCUCAAUAAUUCAGAAACCACAAUUGAGGAAGGAGUAGAGGCAAAGACUGAGGCAAUGAUUGCUAGAGGUGAAGACUGAAAACACAUGGAUGUUAUACCAAAGUAGGUGUGGAAAGGAAUUUUAAAGAUAUAAAAGUUAGAUUGAAAUUGGUCUGGGAUCACCUUCUGUUCAAGUGUGGUAUUGUACUCUGAUGUGCUUCUUAUUCCUUGAAACACAAUAAUUUCAAGGAAUACACAAUAGUUUCAAAUUUGCCUUUGCAAAUUUCUUUAUCCUUAGCUGAUAUUGACGACAUAUUUUCUUUACUGCAGCUGCACUGUGCACCCUGCUAAAUUAACACUUUGGUUCACAGAAUCUGCUCAAGAAGAAUUCUCCCAGUCUUUUCAGUCCUUCAGUUUGUAGGCAUGAACACAUCCAAACACACUGACACCACAGCCCUUGUGCAGAGAAGCAACAAUGAGCUUCUUUUCAGUAGGAAAAUGUCAGCAGACUGCAGCGUACCGCGAGUUUCCAGCAGGGAGCAGCAUUUAUUCAUUUGUGAAGGAGAAGCUCCAGCCUCAAAAGGACCAGACACCCGAAGCUGAAAUACAAACUCAGAAACACUUGCUUAAGAAGCAAUGUUUGCAGAUGGAUGGACAGCUAGCAGUGUGAGGGGUGAAGCAGCAAGGGCAGGUUAAACACUUGGCACAAGGCCUCACCCAUCCUCUUCAUCUGCCUGAUGCCUCUGCAAGCAUGGCUUGGUAUUUAGGACUAGGGAAGUUGGAGGCUCAGAGGCAGUGCCAGCAGAUGAGCUGGAUCAAAAUAUUCCCAUUUAAGGAAAAAUUUUCAUCAAAAAUUUCAGUGUUAUCCCUGGCUCGGAAUUAUUACUUAAGGUACUGGAAACUCGGAUUAAGGUCUCGCUAAUAAUGCUUGCAUAAUAUUAUCACAAUCCGAAGAAUAUCGCAUAUUGUUUUAUAUAUAGCAUAUAGGCUACUGUCUGUUUUGAAAGCUUUCAGUUUUAAAAUUUCUCUUCUAAAGAUGUUUCUUAUCAUGAUAUGUUAACAAUUUCAAAUCCACAGUCUCAGAAUGUCACAGCUUUGAAAUCAGCCUCCACAGAGAUAGUCAAGCUGUGAACAAGUACAAAAGAGAAUAUUUUAGUACUUAAAACCUAGUAAAAAAUCCUGUUCACUGCUUAAGCGAAUUUCUAUUAAAAAUAACUUUAUAAAAACCAUAUACCUCACUGACAGCAUUUGUGUUAUUUCUGGAAUUCUUCCUGCCUAUCCUUAAGUACCAGCUCUGCACAGCAGCCUCCUGCUGCUGUUCCCUGAGAUCAGCUGUGUCCCAGUGGUGCAGUCUCAGAGUGGGUGAAUCAGUCCAUGCAGAGUUAGGUAACUACUGCAGUCUGUAGCCAAUACCCAAAUUGGCUUUAAACCUCAGGCUAGAUUACAAGAGAGCUAGAACACCAUGUACUUGUGUGAUCCUCUUCAGGAUCCUGGGACUCUCAGGGUGUGCCACUGGCACCUCAGGCUUUCAGUCCCUGAGUUAAGAUGACAGCAAGUUUCAUCCUACCUCUAGCUAAAAUAUUAUAUAGCUUUCUACUACCUUGGUCUUCUCUGCAGUCAGAAUUCACAUAGUCACAAAUUAAUUUAAAUUAAAUUUUAUAGAUACACUC
rnacentral:lncRNA from 1 species